UACGUAGGGUCCGAGCAUUGUCCGGAAUUACUGGGCGUAAAGAGCUCGUAGGUGGUUUGUCGCGUUGUUCGUGAAAACUCACAGCUUAACUGUGGGCGUGCGGGCGAUACGGGCAGACUUGAGUACUGCAGGGGAGACUGGAAUUCCUGGUGUAGCGGUGGAAUGCGCAGAUAUCAGGAGGAACACCGGUGGCGAAGGCGGGUCUCUGGGCAGUAACUGACGCUGAGGAGCGAAAGCGUGGGGAGCGAACAGG
rnacentral:rRNA from 1 species